rnacentral:rRNA from 1 species
GACGUAGGGCGCGAGCGUUGUCCGGAUUUAUUGGGCGUAAAGAGCUCGUAGGCGGUGUGUCGCGUCGGCCGUGAAAACCCGGGGCUCAACUCCGGGCCUGCAGUCGAUACGGGCUGGCUUGAGUGCGGUAGGGGAGACUGGAAUUCCUGGUGUAGCGGUGAAAUGCGCAGAUAUCAGGAGGAACACCGGUGGCGAAGGCGGGUCUCUGGGCCGUAACUGACGCUGAGGAGCGAAAGCGUGGGGAGCGAACAGG